UACGUAGGGGGCAAACGUUGUCCGGAAUGACUGGGCGUAAAGGGCGAGUAGGUGGUCUGCCAAGUCAGAAGUGAAAACUGCGGGCUCAACCCGGAGACUGCUUUUAGAAACUGGCAGACUUGAGUGCAGGAGAGGGAAGCGGAAUUCCUAGUGUAGCGGUGAAAUGCGUAGAUAUUAGGAAGAACACCAGUGGCGAAGGCGGCUUCCUGGCCUGUAACUGACACUGAGGCGCGAAAGCGUGGGGAGCAAA
rnacentral:rRNA from 1 species